AGUUGUGCGGCGAGUACGGAGUGAACUAUUUUUUUUGCCUUUUACUAAAGAAUAUCGUGUACUCACCUCUUCUAGUGGCAUAGGCCUAUUUUAGUUCUAUUUAUUUGCAAGAAU